rnacentral:lncRNA from 1 species
AACAUAAAUAUCAAAACGUUUCUAGACGAAGCAAGAACUAACGGGUAGUAAACGGUAAGAAAAACUUGAACUAGCGAAGACUUUCGAAACACGUCAUCCUCUCCUGGCCUCCUGGCUCAAAUUCAAGGAAUGUACUCGAUUCUCGUAUCCAAUUUAACAUUUUUGGUUGCGAUAUUCACUCUACGAGUUGUACAGACUACAGCUGAGAAUGUGGAAGUAAGCCAAAUAUUUCAAAGCUACGAAAUGGGAAUGGUUGCAAACAUUGACACUCUAAAAUUUCAGAUUUUGGAUUAUGUCGGCAUGAUAGACAACGCUAAGUGUCCGACCCCCACACCAGGUCAAGGUUUGUAAGAGUCAUUUUCACUUCACCAACCUAUCGUUUUUUAUUAAUGCUCUAAAGCACUGUUAUAUGUGAAAAACCACAAAAGCUACGUUUCAACCUCAAUAGUUGUUAAAUCUGCGUAAAUAAAAUCAAAACGACUAUAGAAAAAUUAGAAAGUUACUAGCAAGUAACUAGCUACAUAAAAAGUGACAACAAAACAGUUUUCACUUAAAAUUUCCAAAUAUCAUUUAUAUUUUUUUGUUGUUAUGGCACUUUGCCUUGUCAACAAGAAUGUUUUUUAAAAUCUCGAUAAUCUAUAUUGUUGUUGCGAUUGUCAUGACAACAAGAAAGCUAACGUGAAGAAUUCUCGUAAACUGCUUGUUAUUCAGUGUCGUAAAGCUUUACGAGAGAAAUAUGAUAGCAAAGUGAUUGUCAAUACAACGACAAGAAAGCUUUAAAGCAAUAUUUAAUGUUUUCUUGUGAAUGCAAUUAAUAUAUGCAAAAGCUCGACAAACAUAUUGUUUGUCAAGGCAUCUUGGGGUAAACUGUUGCAAUAAUUCCGUAAUUUCGACGUGAAUGAAGAUGCAGAAGUUUUCGUACACAACGUGUUCGCUUUACUGAACAGCGUUUUGAAGUCAAGGCAAAUAGGGUAGGAGACUUUACAGUCCCCCGAUUAUUCCACAGAAAUUAGGAAUUCAGGUAAAAUACUCUUCGGUCGCAGAGAAACGUCUAUGACGUCGUUAUGAAGGUCUAUUUCAGUGUGAGCAGAUCAGGCUGGUAAUUUUUAUUACCAGAUUUAAACAGAUGGACACAGACAACCACACCUGAUUUUAAUAAUUACGAAAUUUAUAGCAGGAGGGGCAGUCGAACUAAAUUUGAAUAUAUGGUCACACUAUAUCACGUGCUGUAGUAUUGAAAACCAUUUGCAUGUUUAUUAGGCUGGGAAGCGUUUUAUUUUCUGUAGAAAUGGGACAAAAAGAAGUUGCUCAAAAUCCGUGUUCAUUGUUCAAAAAGUAGCCUACUCAGCAGGUAGUCUGUUGAAGUUGGACCAGAUUAUGCCGCAUGCGACAGGCUGGUCAUGUGGUCCCAUAUAUAUGAGGUGAAAUUUAAAAAACUCCUAUUUUCUCUAUUUAUCUUAUUAGUCUUCACAUAGCAAAAUUUCUUGAUUGCAACUAAAUGUCUUUCAGAAACAUUUUGGGGUCAUUUCCUACUAGUGGCACAAUAUUCUCUCUUUAAUCAUUAACUUUACCAUCAUUACCUCAUUUCUAAUCCUCAGACAUGCUCCAUCUGAUCAUCUUUAUUCAAUUAGUGCAUUGAACCAAGGCCAGACGAGACACUUGGCGGUUAUUCUGUAUAUUCCGUUAAACACAAAGCGAAUAACACAAUAUCUAUGCCACACUAUCUGUUAUAAAAUUAUAGACCCUUCGCACGAGACUUCUCAAUAGGCAUCUGAGGCCGGUUGUAUCUUACAUUUGUCUUGAAUGAGUGAACUUGAAUAUUAUGCACUAAAUAGUAGUUGUAAACAGUAGCUUUGUAUUGAGGUUAAAAACAUUUAGUUUGCUUGUUGAGUAAAACGAUAGACUUGCUUUCUAUUUUGAACUUAAGCACCGUUAAAACUAAACGGUUUGAUACAACCGGCCCCUGGAGGGCAA